rnacentral:rRNA from 1 species
CCUACGGGUGGCAGCAGUGGGGAAUAUUGGACAAUGGGCGAAAGCCUGAUCCAACCAUGCCGCGUGUGUGAAGAAGGCCUUCGGGUUGUAAAGCACUUUCAGUGGGGAAGAAAGCCUUGGGGCUAAUACCCUCGAGGAAGGACAUCACCCACAGAAGAAGCACCGGCUAACUCCGUGCCAGCAGCCGCGGUAAUACGGAGGGUGCGAGCGUUAAUCGGAAUUACUGGGCGUAAAGCGCGCGUAGGCGGUCUGAUAAGCCGGUUGUGAAAGCCCCGGGCUCAACCUGGGAACGGCAUCCGGAACUGUCAGGCUAGAGUGCAGGAGAGGAAGGUAGAAUUCCCGGUGUAGCGGUGAAAUGCGUAGAGAUCGGGAGGAAUACCAGUGGCGAAGGCGGCCUUCUGGACUGACACUGACGCUGAGGUGCGAAAGCGUGGGUAGCAAACAGGAUUAGAUACCCGAGUAGUC